AACUGUUUUACAGAGAGGGAUUGUGGAGGAGAACUCGGAGCUAUAAAAUGAGAGAAAAGGACACAACAUCUUGUUAAACAAUGAUAAAAGAAGAUUUUGCAUGGUGGUGUUAGAACAUCUGUUUCUGUGAUUCAAUGGAAAAAACACUUCAUGAGAAAACAGAGUAAUGGAAGCCAAUGACAACUUCAGCUACGGUCCCAGUGCCUUCAUGGGAUGAGACUGCCUUGCAAGCAAUUAAGGAAGAUCCAGAAAUCUUCAAAAAGUAGCAUUAAACACUAUGCUAGAACUAUUGAUCAGUCUUAAAAUUAAUAAAGCCCCCAAAACACUA